rnacentral:lncRNA from 1 species
UCACUGCAUUGGGCAAUUUAAAUGGAAAAAAAAAAAUGCUAUGGAAACAUGGCAUCCUCAGUCUCCCCUACCAUCCACCAAGUGCCCACAUGGAAAUUGUACCCAGGCCCACUUACCGUCAGUCAUCAAUUAGAUGCCUGCCCAAUAGCCAGUCUCUCCCUGAUCUCUGAGAAAAUGGAAAUCGCCAUUGCUUGGGAGUCUUCACCCUAAUAUCAUGGGGUGAAUAAUUUACAUCUAUUGUCAAAAAGAUCUUCCACAUGCAGAUAAUCUGUAAGAGAGAUUAUGAAGCUAGGUGGUUCACCGAAUUCUGAAAAACCUAUACUAAUGAGACAUUUUUACCUGUAGCAAUGAAAUUAUUAAGAUAAAGAGAAAUAAGGGCUAUUUUCAUAUUAGCCUGUAAGUUAUAAACUACAUCUCUUCCUGGGGAUUAUACAGGUAGGGGUGCAUAAAUAAAACCUGAUAAAUAAAUCCUGUCAACCAAAACAUUUUCCAAAGCGAAGGUGGGGGAGCAUGUUGGAUAUCACGAUAAUUGCCUAGAUGAGCCCCUGUGGGGCUCAGAGAGGUCCAGUAGUCACACAGCUCAUAAGCCAUUGGGCUUGUGUUAGACCCCAAUGUCCCGGCCCAAUUAGAUCUGCUUCUCUCCAUUGCUCCCUACGAGUAAUCGACCCCUGGUAAAUUAUUCAGGGAAAGCCAUGAAUGUUGAAGUAAAAGUAAAGUCUGCAUCCUAUAGGGAUCGCCUGUGUUCCCUUGAAACAUAGUUUCCCAAACUCCCAGACACAGAAGCAUUCAGCUGAAGAUACAUAUUUGCCCAGCGAGGAUGGGAACUAGAAUCACACCUGGGUUUCCUGGAUCCCAGAGCAGUGCAGUUUCCCCAGCAUUAUAUCAUCCCCGCUUAGCACUGCAGAAAGAAUACUUCCUGCAGCCAUCACAACUGGGCUUAUGCUUUGCUCUGAGCAGGAAGAAAUCGUCCAUAUCAGCAGUGGCUGUGGCAACAGAUGGUCGGUCAGAGAAGAACCUGGUAGCCGUCACCCCCAAGAUCAAAGAACACAUUGCUUACAGACUCCUGAUACAUCAUCAUGUCAGUGUGCCAAAGGCCCAGCAAAUGUAACUGGUAAACCAGAGCUGUUCCUCAGUGGGCAUGCGAUCACGACAUGUAUCAGAAACAUUCUGAAUUGGACUUUCCAUUGAUCACUGACUCAUGGUUUCAACUUGUCCUGGGAUCUCUGCUCUACUCAAAUUAACCUGAAUAGCACACUCUUGGUCCUUGGCAUCAGAAGCUUCUUUGCUGCAGCUGCAUUAAAUGCCAUAGCCUGAAUAGGGGUUAAAUAGAAUUUCUGAGGUCCUAAAAAUAAGCAUUUUAUUGACAAGGUACAAUGAUACUUUAAAAUUGUACUUCUUUAAAAGAAAAGAAAAAUCAUAAGGUUAUUGUGUGUGGUGUUUCCCUUUAGCCCAGCUGAUGAAUAGUUCAUCACAAGCAGAAUCUUGAGAAAUAUUCCACUUAACUUAGGGCACAGAGUAUGGAUAGACUAGAGUAUCUUUAAAUAUUGUAAGCAAUGUUGCCGGUGACUUUCUGGUACAUAGAGUUAAACACCACCUCCGUACUGAUUUGUUUAUAUAAAUGAACGCAAACAGGUGAGUAUCAUUGACAGCUGAUUACUAGAGGGCACAGGUCUCUAUAAAUCCAUGGAUCCUCUUGGUUUCCGUAUCUGAAAUACUGUUGUAAGAAUCCUAUGCUCCAAGCCUGGGGUUAAUCUGACCACCAAAGGCUUUAUUCAUUAACAGAUUCCGUCACGAACCCACACAGUCACUCAUCUAUUUAUUCACUUAUAAAUGAGAGGAAGUGGUCACCUUGGGGUGUAAUAAGAGCUUGGAACUGUGAAAUAAUCUGUACAAUAUCCAGGAAGGUCAUGAAUAUCAUGAAUAAGAUUACUUGCCGAUUCUCUGAGUCACUGGUGGAAAAGAAGCAUUUUACGGAAACGCCUCUCCAGGCAGGAAUGGUCAUUGGACCCCCUCAUUUUGGAGAGCAUCCAUUGCUCUUAUGCCAUAUAAUGUUUUGGAAGUAAGUUCUCACCAAGGAAGUUACUAUUAGACAUGUAUGAUGAAGAACGCAAGUGCCUGCUUAUAGCAUUUUCCCCAGAGCAAGUCAAAACCUAUGGGCAAGGGGACAAAUUCUCCAGUCUUUCAGGACCAGAUGGUUUCUCCAAAUGCAGAACGCUCUUCAAGACCAGGAAGAGUUGUUUCCUGUAUAGACUGAAGUCCAAUGUCACUUUCUUCUCAAACUUCGGAACCUCCCCCUGACCAACAGAUAGAAAUCCUAUUAUGAAAUGCAUCAAAACCGGAGUUUUGCCGGUCCCACAAGGAGAGAGGCCUUGGCCUCUCCAGACCCUGUUUCCCUACCUUCAGAGUGAUCAUAUACAUUUAAUUAACAGUUCCUCCUCCAGGGUUCUCUUUAUUUCUUGGUUUUGUUCUUUCUUUUGAAAAAAAAUCCAAAAGAAAGAUUUUAAUGUCCACCUCUGGCUACCACUUUAUGAUCAUAAGAAAACAAAACUAAGAUGUAGUCUAGAAAGAUGUGCUGGAGUUCCCGUUGUAGUUCAGUGGUUAACGAACCUGACUAGUAUCCACGAGGAUGCGGGUUUGAUCCCUGGCCUCGCUCAGUGGGUUAAGGAUCCGGCGUUGCCAUGAGCUGUGGUGUAGGUCGCAGAUGCAGCUCGGAUCCCGCAUUGCUGUGGCUGUGGCAGAGGCCGUCAGCUACAGCUCCAAAUCGACCCCUAGCCUGAGAACCUUCAUAUGCCACCAGUGCAGCCCAGAAGACAAAAAAUAAAAAUGUGCAGUUGUUCUAGAUCAUGUGAUUAGCAUGGACAUUGCGGAAGUCUAAGUAAUUGAAUACCCUACGUGCCUUGAGUAUUUUUGAUAGCUAAUAUGGUGCUUUGUGGUGUAUGGUGCUAUUGAUAAAAUAAAUAUUUUCCAAUCUGGACUAUACCAAAAAUUGCAUUAUACCUCUUGAGAUUUUCCUCGUUGCAUACUGAAACAGUAUUGCAGUUUACAGGACUUGUGCCUUUUUUAAAAAAUUAAAUAUAAAAUAAAAAACAUAAAGAGUUUUAUAAAUUUAGAGGAAGAGCUCUAUUUUCACAAAGCAUUGAUGCAAAUAAUAAGUUCACUCUUUUUAAUCUUAACCAUUUCCACUUGGACUUUGUUCAGCCUCAAAAGACUUUAGAAGAAAUGGAGUUUAAUAGCCCUGGUACAUAUCUUUAAAAUCCUUUGGAAACUUUAUUGAAACGAUGAAAGAGCUCUAGGCAGCCUCCAGCCAAUAUGUCAUAAUGUUUUUUGCUACCAUAAUUUCUUGCUGGGGCAGAGAAUGACCACAUUUUAAAAUAAAUAUUUUAUUGGGGCAACUCAUUUUCCAGGAGCUAACCUCCAAAUGUGAGGACAGCCCUGUUGUCUAGACCAAGCAAAUAAGAUUCACUAGAGACAAUCAAUGAAAGUGAGACUGUGGGAGGAGAUGAAAUGAACAGGGUCAGACUCACCUCUUAUUACUCCUCCUCUGUGUGCUACGCUCCAGCCCACAGACGCAGCUUCCAUCUUCGGUCUUUGCACCUGCUCUUCUUACUGCCUCUGAUGCCUUCUUCCUCCUUUUGGUCUAUUAACAAAACCUUGCUCAUGGUUGAAGCCUCAUUUUGUUUUUUUCCACGGAAGCCCCAUUUUAAAUGUCAUCUUCUCCAAAGAGCUUUUCUCAAUCCCUUAACUAGUUGCCUCUUCUGCACUCUCAGCAUGCUAUUUCCGCCCCGAUGCCACACUGUUUUCAUUAUGACUUUAUUAAUUUUAUCUGUGCCAUUAUUUUUAUAUCUUUCUCUCCAGUGAGAUAGUAAAAUGCUGAGAAGAAAGACCUUAUAAUAUCUUUGUAUCUCUGUGCCCCUAACAAUGUUUGGACCCUAGCAGGUGUUCAGUGAUGCUUGGCUUCAGUUGUCUUUGCAAUUCUGGGAAGACGCAGUUCUCUUUCUCAUCAACCUGCCUUUGUCCACACUCAUGUCCCCUCUGCCCCAAAUGCCUUCUCCCAAGUCAUUCUCCCUUCUCAACCCAAAUCUCAUACUCCUGCAUCAAGUUGUCCCCAGUUGUCCGGUCCCUGUAGUCAGCCUUCUCCGGUUAUCACCUUCGACUGUGCCAACAGUCAAGAGAGAGCUGGUUCGCUCCUCUGUGCCUUUAUAGGAAUCUUUAUGCCCUUGAUCAUGGCAGGGACUGCAUGAUGCUGUAAUGGCUUGUGUACACACCCAUCUUACUUGGUAGUCUUGCGAGUUUCUUGGGGGCAGGGGUUGUUUCUCGUGUCUCUGAGUUUCUAAGAGCAGCAUUUCAGGCACUCAAUAAAUAUUUGCAGAAUGAAUAUAGCGGAUAAGUCAAAGCAUCUUACUAUCAUCCUUGUUUUAUUUUUUUAAAAAAGGAAGGAAGGAGGGAGGGAAGGAAGGAUAUUUAAGUGAUUUAGCAUAUUACAAAAUCCUGGAGUUUAUUUUCCCUCUACCUCUGUAACUCAUUGUGGAAGUAUGUUGACCAAGUUAUGGCAACAAAUAGCCCAUCUAGGAGUCAUCUUUUGUUUUCUUCCACACUUUGUCUGCCACCAGUUCCACAUACAUGGCUUUGAGGAAGAAAGAGAUUCCAACUGGCUAAAAGUCAACUACAUGGAUAUGAUGUAUCUUUCUUUUUUUUUUUUUCUUUUUUGGCCACACCCAUAGCAUAUGGAAGUUCCCAGGCCAGGGAUCAAAUCUGAGCCACAGCUUCGACCUCCACCAUAGCUGCAGCAACACCAGAUCCUUAACCCACUGUGCUGGGCUGGCUAGAACCUGUGCUGCCUCGGAGAUAUUGCUGGGUCUUUAACCCGCUGUGUCACAGUGGGAAUUCCAUAAUAAAUCUUUAUUUUUUUAAAGAAAAAGAAAAAUUUUUUAAUCUCUAAAUGGAAUAUAAACUCUGCUGUUGAGACUGUGUGGUACAUCAGUCCUAGUCAUAUCUCACUGGACAUUCUAGGUAAAUAUAAAAUUCCACCAUAAUCUGAGAUCAUCAGCAACACUAAUAUUUGUCUUUGGAAGGAAGUAUGGAGUAGUGGGGAAAAUAUAGACUCUGGUAUACAGAUAGACCAAGUUUUAUUUUAUUUUAUUUGUCUUUUUGUCUUGUAGGGCUGCAUGCAUGGCAUAGGGAAGUUCCUAGGCUAGGGGUCCAAUCAGAAUUGCAGCCGCUGGCCUACGCCAUAGCCAUGUGGGAUCCGAGCUGUGUCUGCAACCUACACCAUAGUUCACGGCAAUGCUGGAUCCUUACCCCACUGAGCAAGGCCAGGGAUUGAACCCAUGCCCUCAUGGGUGAUAGGUUUGCAAACCACUGAGCCACAACGGGAACUCCAUAGAAAGACCAAAUUUUAAAGUGUCUGACUCCACUUCCUAGUAUGACUUUAGUUAUGGCCUUAGUUUCUUCAUCCGUAAAAUGGAACUAAUACAGUACCUUGUCGCAUUGUUCCUAGGAAGUCAACUUCACAAUCUGUGUGUAUACUCAGCACGUGUCUGGAAUGUAUUAAGCAUUCUUCUCCUUUUCCCUGUGGGUAGAGGGCUAAUGGGUUUUAUAGACAUAUUUCUCAUCAUCUAAGUUUGCUCUGUCACAUCCUUCGCCCCACCCUCUAUUACAAUUUUUAGAUAAAAGUGGGCUAAAAUAAACAUCAAGGUUCAACUUGGUCACUCCCAGACUGUAUUGUUCUCCCAAAACAGCCUGUGUGUUGUGCUGUCAUGUCGUUUUUCACACUGUUUACUUUAAUAAGCUUUCAAACUGGAUCAUAAACCCCUUGAGAGGAAGGACACUGCUUUUAUUUCUGUUUCUGAGUGGCUUAUAAAGACCUGGCAAUACAUUGUCAGUAAUGAUUGAGUCAUUCAUUUCUUCAAUAGUCAAUCAAGACCAUCCUGGAAUAAAAAAGAAAACAGGAAGUCAGCUGCACACCCACUAAAGACCAGAAAGGGGUGGCUCCCUUUGCCCUGGCAAGGAUAUUUUUAAGGGUCCCAGUGUUACUGAAACUAUGCCUCUGUCCACUGGUGCUGAA